UGCCAGAGCCAACCUCCAUCAUCUCCAGCUCCAUGGCUGCAGUUUGCAGCCUCAGCAAACUGAAGCCGCUGCUUGCCCUGGAGCUGGAAUCACGCCUCCUGCGGGCUCUUCUUUACACCAUCUUCACGAUGGGCACUGGGCAGGAUACCACCCACUUCCAGGCUCUGCACAACACCUAUUUACAGAGGCUGGACGCCAUGGUCGGGUGCCUGCUCACUGAGACCCCACC